GGAGAGCUGGCUUAGUGGUUAAGAGCACCGAUUGCUCUUCCAGAGGUCCUGAGUUCAAUUCCCAGCAACCUCA
rnacentral:tRNA from 1 species